GUGGAGGUGGAGCUCCUUUCGGUCCAUAAAGGGUGUUGCUGUGGGUGGAUUGAGCUGCUGGGUCAUGGACCCCGUUAGCCUAUUCCAUGGUUCCUCACCUGCUGUUUGGCUUGAGAUACUAGAGAGAUGAAGAAUUAGAUGUGUAGAGAUGAGAGAGAGAGGUGUUCGGCUGCAUUUCUUGUUGGGAUAGGCUUAUGGCUUGCAUGCCCCAGGAGCUGCAUCAGCCCUACAUGGACCCUCUUUGGAUUGAAGGGAGCUCUGCAUCUUU
rnacentral:pre_miRNA from 1 species